UCUGGGCAUUCAUUUCUUUAAGGGAUUAGAUUUCAUGUUAUAAUACUUAUAAUAAUUAAAUACUUGACUCGACUUACAUGAAUACAUUUAGACUACAUUGUCCUCAUGAACAGCAGCUAAACUCAAUAAGCAAAAUUCAGACAAUAAGGCACCUCACUAGUGAGCAUGGGUGAUUAAGAGAUGCACUUCACUUUACUUUAACUUUAUUAUGUCCCAAAAUGGGCAAAUCGUGUUGCAGCAGGCACAGGCAUUGAAAACACUUCCAUACAUCAUAAAAUAAAAUAAAAUAAAAUACAUUUACAUUACAAUUCAGAAGGUAAAAAGCAUUAAAGACGAUUUAGAAGGUAAAAAGGCAUUUGUCAGUCAUACCACUGUUUUUGCAUGAGCAGAGUGCAUAAAAUGCAGAAAUAAAGUGCAAUAUGCAGUUUGUGAACCAAUAUGUACCGAUAUGCAAUGAUGAGGCUAGAUACAUAGAUAGAUAGAUAGAUAAAAUUUAUUGAUCGCAAACUGGGAAAUUCCCAUGUUACAGCAGCAAUAAAAACACAAAAUAAAAUGAAAUAUAAGAAUGUAAAAUACAGACUAAAUAUACUACAUAUAUACAAUAAAUACAGACUAAAUAUACUUAACAUCCUAAGAGAAAAAAGUAAGAUGAAAAAAGUGGGCUAUCCACUGGUAGUACUAAUAAGGAUGAUGAAGUGCAGUGUUAUAUGCAGUUCAGACAAAGAGCUAGUAUUAGCCAUGUUAAAAUAGGCUAAGCUAACUGUAGUUAAUCAGGUAUUCUGGUUUGUAUAGGCGUAUUUUUUCAAAGUUAGAAGCUACUACAUGGAAUAUUUAAUGAUGCAUUUCAGUUCAUGAGUUUUUGGUGGUCCUAAGUGGGAUUCUUCGAUUAUAAUGAAUGUGGGUCACAGUUUUCAGGCUUCGUAUUCACAACUACUGCGCCAUUACGCAUUGUAACCCUCAUGCGCCACAACACCAAAACAGCCUGGUGGGCCUGGGCUGUGAUAUUAAAAUGGCUGCAUCAUUUCCUACUCCGUCAUAACGGUGAAGAUAUAGCUUCCUGCAUCAUGUGUCGUUCUUGUUUUUCCAUCUUCCUCCUUUACUCCUCUGCAGCCUCUCGCUGCCUCUCAUCAUACUGACACUGACCCCUCUCUGUUCUUCGCCUUUCCCUCUCUCCCCUCCACGAGAUGCCGAGUACAAAAAUCCGCUACAGCGAAUUUCGUGUCCCUUGUUUCCUUAUAUGGUGAUCAGCGUCGCGGCCCGACCCCUCCUCGUGCCGUGAGCGAGGCGCGUGCACUGUCCGCCGCCGCCGCUCACCGUUCGCUUCCAUAUUUGGAAGUGAGUCCAACAAAACCCA